rnacentral:rRNA from 1 species
GAUGAACGCUGGCGGCGUGCCUAAUACAUGCAAGUCGAGCGAACGGACGAGAAGCUUGCUUCUCUGAUGUUAGCGGCGGACGGGUGAGUAACACGUGUAUAACCCCCCUAUCAGACUGGUAUAACCUGGGGAAACCGUCGCUUAUCCCGGAUAAUCUUCUGAACCGCAUGGGUCAAAAGUGAAAGACGGUGUUUCUGUCACUUAUAGAUGGAUCCCCGCUGCAUUAGCUAGUUGGUACGGUAACGGGUUACCAAGGCAACGAUGCAUAGCCGACGUGAGAGAGUGAUCGGCGACACGGGAAGGGAGACGCGGUCCAGGCUCCUACGGGAGGCAGCAGUAGGGAAUCUUCCGCAGUGGGCGAAAGCCUGACGGAGCAACGCGGCGUGAGUGAUGGAGGUCUUCGGAUCGUAAAACUCUGUUAUGAGGGAAGAACAUAUGUGUAAGUAACUGAGGACAGCGUGACGGUACCUAAUCAGAAAGCCACGGCUAACUACGUG